rnacentral:rRNA from 1 species
GGGUUGUGAGGUUAAGCGACUAAGCGUACACGGUGGAUGCCCUGGCAGUCAGAGGCGAUGAAGGGCGUGCUAAUCUGCGAUAAGCGCCGGUAAGGUGAUAUGAACCGUUAUAACCGGCGAUACCCGAAUGGGGAAACCCAGUGUGACUCGUCACACUAUCAUUAACUGAAUCCAUAGGUUAAUGAGGCGAACCGGGGGAACUGAAACAUCUAAGUACCCCGAGGAAAAGAAAUCAACCGAGAUUCCCCCAGUAGCGGCGAGCGAACGGGGAGGAGCCCAGAGCCUGAAUCAGCAUGUGUGUUAGUGGAAGCGUCUGGAAAGGCGCGCGAUACAGGGUGACAGCCCCGUACACAAAAGCGCAUGUGCUGUGAGCUCGAUGAGUAGGGCGGGACACGUGGUAUCCUGUCUGAAUAUGGGGGGACCAUCCUCCAAGGCUAAAUACUCCUGACUGACCGAUAGUGAACCAGUACCGUGAGGGAAAGGCGAAAAGAACCCCGGCGAGGGGAGUGAAAAAGAACCUGAAACCGUGUACGUACAAGCAGUGGGAGCCCCACCACCAAAGCAUUUGCUGUACCGCGUUGACGGAGCGAAGCGACGUCAAACCGAUAAAACAGCAGUGUAAAGUGAGCCGCAGGGCGCUUUGCGCGACAGCGCAAAGGCAGGCGGUUUCGCGUAGCGAAAGCGAAUGCUUUGGGGUGGGGUGACUGCGUACCUUUUGUAUAAUGGGUCAGCGACUUAUAUUCUGUAGCAAGGUUAACCGAAUAGGGGAGCCGGAGGGAAACCGAGUCUUAAUUGGGCGUUAAGUUGCAGGGUAUAGACCCGAAACCCGGUGAUCUAGCCAUGGGCAGGUUGAAGGUUGGGUAACACUAACUGGAGGACCGAACCGACUAAUGUUGAAAAAUUAGCGGAUGACCUGUGGCUGGGGGUGAAAGGCCAAUCAAACCGGGAGAUAGCUGGUUCUCCCCGAAAGCUAUUUAGGUAGCGCCUCGUGAAUUCAUCUCCGGGGGUAGAGCACUGUUUCGGCUAGGGGGCCAUCCCGGCUUACCAACCCGAUGCAAACUGCGAAUACCGGAGAAUGUUAUCACGGGAGACACACGGCGGGUGCUAACGUCCGUCGUGAAGAGGGAAACAACCCAGACCGCCAGCUAAGGUCCCAAAGUCAUGGUUAAGUGGGAAACGAUGUGGGAAGGCCCAGACAGCCAGGAUGUUGGCUUAGAAGCAGCCAUCAUUUAAAGAAAGCGUAAUAGCUCACUGGUCGAGUCGGCCUGCGCGGAAGAUGUAACGGGGCUAAACCAUGCACCGAAGCUGCGGCAGCGACACUGUGUGUUGUUGGGUAGGGGAGCGUUCUGUAAGCCUGCGAAGGUGGCCUGUGAGGGUUGCUGGAGGUAUCAGAAGUGCGAAUGCUGACAUAAGUAACGAUAAAGCGGGUGAAAAGCCCGCUCGCCGGAAGACCAAGGGUUCCUGUCCAACGUUAAUCGGGGCAGGGUGAGUCGACCCCUAAGGCGAGGCCGAAAGGCGUAGUCGAUGGGAAACGGGUUAAUAUUCCCGUACUUGGUGUUACUGCGAAGGGGGGACGGAGAAGGCUAUGUUGGCCGGGCGACGGUUGUCCCGGUUUAAGCGUGUAGGUGUGUGUUCCAGGUAAAUCCGGUUCACUUUAACACUGAGGCGUGACGACGAGGCACUACGGUGCUGAAGCAACAAAUGCCCUGCUUCCAGGAAAAGCCUCUAAGCAUCAGGUAACAUCAAAUCGUACCCCAAACCGACACAGGUGGUCAGGUAGAGAAUACCAAGGCGCUUGAGAGAACUCGGGUGAAGGAACUAGGCAAAAUGGUGCCGUAACUUCGGGAGAAGGCACGCUGACACGUAGGUGAAGUGAUUUACUCAUGGAGCUGAAGUCAGUCGAAGAUACCAGCUGGCUGCAACUGUUUAUUAAAAACACAGCACUGUGCAAACACGAAAGUGGACGUAUACGGUGUGACGCCUGCCCGGUGCCGGAAGGUUAAUUGAUGGGGUCAGCGCAAGCGAAGCUCCUGAUCGAAGCCCCGGUAAACGGCGGCCGUAACUAUAACGGUCCUAAGGUAGCGAAAUUCCUUGUCGGGUAAGUUCCGACCUGCACGAAUGGCGUAAUGAUGGCCAGGCUGUCUCCACCCGAGACUCAGUGAAAUUGAACUCGCUGUGAAGAUGCAGUGUACCCGCGGCAAGACGGAAAGACCCCGUGAACCUUUACUAUAGCUUGACACUGAACAUUGAGCCUUGAUGUGUAGGAUAGGUGGGAGGCUUUGAAGUGUGGACGCCAGUCUGCAUGGAGCCGACCUUGAAAUACCACCCUUUAAUGUUUGAUGUUCUAACGUGGACCCGUUACCCGGGUUGCGGACAGUGUCUGGUGGGUAGUUUGACUGGGGCGGUCUCCUCCUAAAGAGUAACGGAGGAGCACGAAGGUUGGCUAAUCCUGGUCGGACAUCAGGAGGUUAGUGCAAUGGCAUAAGCCAGUUUGACUGCGAGCGUGACGGCGCGAGCAGGUGCGAAAGCAGGUCAUAGUGAUCCGGUGGUUCUGAAUGGAAGGGCCAUCGCUCAACGGAUAAAAGGUACUCCGGGGAUAACAGGCUGAUACCGCCCAAGAGUUCAUAUCGACGGCGGUGUUUGGCACCUCGAUGUCGGCUCAUCACAUCCUGGGGCUGAAGUAGGUCCCAAGGGUAUGGCUGUUCGCCAUUUAAAGUGGUACGCGAGCUGGGUUUAGAACGUCGUGAGACAGUUCGGUCCCUAUCUGCCGUGGGCGCUGGAGAACUGAGGGGGGCUGCUCCUAGUACGAGAGGACCGGAGUGGACGCAUCACUGGUGUUCGGGUUGUCAUGCCAAUGGCACUGCCCGGUAGCUAAAUGCGGAAGAGAUAAGUGCUGAAAGCAUCUAAGCACGAAACUUGCCCCGAGAUGAGUUCUCCCUGAGACUUAGAGUCUCCUGAAGGAACGUUGAAGACGACGACGUUGAUAGGCCGGGUGUGUAAGCGCAGCGAUGCGUUGAGCUAACCGGUACUAAUGAACCGUGAGGCUUAACCUUACAACGCCGAAG